GAUGAACGCUGGCGGCGUGCCUAAUACAUGCAAGUCGAGCGAACAGACGAGGAGCUUGCUCCUCUGACGUUAGCGGCGGACGGGUGAGUAACACGUGGAUAACCUACCUAUAAGACUGGGAUAACUUCGGGAAACCGGAGCUAAUACCGGAUAAUAUAUUGAACCGCAUGGUUCAAUAGUGAAAGACGGUUUUGCUGUCACUUAUAGAUGGAUCCGCGCCGCAUUAGCUAGUUGGUAAGGUAACGGCUUAUCAAGGCGACGAUGCGUAGCCGACCUGAGAGGGUGAUCGGCCACCCUGGAACUGAGACACGGUCCAGACUCCUACGGGAGGCAGCAGUAGGGAAUCUUCCGCAAUAGGCGAAAGCCUGACGGAGCAACGCCGCGUGAGUGAUGAAGGUCUUCGGAUCGUAAAACUCUGUUAUUAGGGAAGAACAAAUGUGUAAGUAAAUAUGCACGUCUUGACGGUACCUAAUCAGAAAGCCCCGGCUAACUACGUG
rnacentral:rRNA from 1 species